rnacentral:rRNA from 1 species
UAUGUCGGUAGUGAAAGCGUUCGGCUCAACCGAAUAAACAUUACUGAAACUGCUAAGCUAGAAGAUGAGAGAGGUCACUGGAAUUCCCUGUGUAGGAGUGAAAUCCGUAGAUAUAGGGAGGAACACCGAUGGCGUAGGCAGGUGACUGGCUCAUUCUUGACACUAAGGCACGAAAGCGUGGGAGCAAACGGGAUUAGAUACCCCGGUAGUCCACGCCGUAAACUAUGGAUGCUA